CGCCAGGUUUAUAAACGUAGACCCAUCGCACUCGUUACCCUCCUCGACAUACAGUUACACAGAGCUUCGACUUCUGCCAUUGACUCAGACUGCUCGCCUCCAAAAACUGUGUUCUAUGGCACUGCUGAUUCCUUCUCUAUUGGACUUUGUACUUGUUGGACUGACAAGGUUUACCAAGACUGGCGUCUGAGGCAGCGAUGUUGGCGCUUCUCACAUAAUUCUAUAUACACUCCUUCCCCUCAUGCAGCAUAUACUAUGGCACUUGGAGCUUUGGCUUGAGGUUUCAAGUUAAAAUGUAAAAACCAAGUUCUUCCAUAAAUUGAGUUCUUGAAGUUAUGGGUUCAA